rnacentral:rRNA from 1 species
GUGGUGGACUGCAGGGAAGAGAGAAUGUUGGCAUGAGUAGCGAAAGUGAAGUGAGAAUCUUCACCAUCGAAAGCCCAAGGUUUCCUGAGGAAGGCUCGUCCGCUCAGGGUAAGUCGGGGCCUAAGCCGAGGCCGGAAGGCGUAGGCGAUGGACAACUGGUUGAAAUUCCAGUACUAGCGUGAUGCGCUAUAAGAGAAGGAGUGACACAGAAGGGCAAGCGAACCCGGGCGAUGGUAGACCCGGGCCAAGCAGUGAGGCUGAUCGAGGAGGCAAAUCCCCUUGGUCAUAAGGCUAGGCUGUGAUGGGGAACGAAAAACAAGUAGGGAAGUCGCCGCACUCACACUGUCAAGAAAAGCUUCUAUCAAGUAUCAUGCUACCCGUACCGUAAACCGACACAGGUAGGCGAGGAGAGAAUCCUAAGAUGAGCGGGAGAAGUGUUGUUAAGGAACUCGGCAAAAUGACU